AAAGCUUUGUGGAUUAUCUUGGAACGAGAUCCUCUAUGCCUGGUCAAGCCUUGAGCUGACUGCAAACUUUAUGAGACCUUCAGCUAUGAAUACCCAGCUUAGCCACAUUACUGGGAUGGGGCUGUAGCUGGUUCUUUUGGAGUGCUUUUCCUGUAAGCAUAGGGCUGCGGAUUCUAUCACCAACAAUCAGUGAACCCAGCAUAGAAGUGGAUGCCUAGAUCCUGGCAUGAAGGAGAAUCAGGAAUUCAAGGACAAAUCUGAGAGCAGCCUGGGUGUGGGUGGAUUCUUCAGGCCACUGAACAUCAGGCUAUUUAUUACAUGGCCUAAGUAACUAUUAGACAAGGUAAAGGAGAAAGCAGGGGGCACACAUGUGAGGGUUACUGUAGCUUUUCUGUAAAUUUCAAAAUAAAAUGUUAAAAAUAAA
ensembl:lincRNA 4930512P04Rik RIKEN cDNA 4930512P04 gene